rnacentral:rRNA from 1 species
GACGAACGCUGGCGGCGUGCUUAAUACAUGCAAGUCGAACGGAAAGGCCCUGCUUUUGUGGGGUGCUCGAGUGGCGAACGGGUGAGUAACACGUGAGUAACCUGCCCUUGACUGUGGGAUAACUUCAGGAAACAGGGGAGAAUACCGGAUAGAAGCUCCUGCUGCACGGGGGGGGUUGGAAAGUUUCGGCGGUUGGGGAUGGACUCGCGGCUUCGCAGCUUGUUGGUGGGGUAGUGGCUUACCAAGCCUAUGACGGGUAGCCGGCCUGGGAGGGGGACCGGCCACCUUGGGACUAAGGUAGGGCCCAGAAUCCUACGGGAGGCAGCAGUGGAGAAUAUUACACAAUGGGCGGAAGCCUGAGGCAGCAACGCCGCGUGCGGAAUGACGGCCUACGGGUUGUGAACCGCUUUCGCCUGUGACAAAGCGUGAGUGACGGUAAUGGGUAAAGAAGCACCGGCUAACUACGUG